rnacentral:rRNA from 1 species
AUGGGUCUCGUCUCAGGUGCUCUGAAAUGCUGGGAGGAGUGGCAGCUGCGUAUCCUGGUGCUCAGCAGCCUAUGUGUCCAGUUCUUCCUCUACUUCUCCAUGUGGGUGCGUCGAGUCCCCGGCCUACGCAGGCUGAGAGUGGUGGUGUGGAUGGCGUACAUAGGAGGCGACGCCCUCGCAAUCUACGCCCUUGCCACCCUCUUCAACCGCCAUAAGCAGUGGACGACGGAUGCGGUGGGUGAGAGCAGCAGCGACCUGGAGGUGAUAUGGGCGCCUGUUCUCCUCAUCCACCUGGGUGGCCACCUGACAUUGAGCGCCUACUGCCUCGAGGACAAUGAGUUGUGGCUACGACAUGUCAUAACUCUGGUAUCUCAGGUCACCGUCGCCUUGUACGUCUUCUGCAAGUGGUGGUCCGGCGAGUUGAGGCUGCUGCUGGCGGCAGUUAUGCUCUUCGUCUUUGGCAUCCUGAAAUUUGGUCUCAAGCCAUGGACUCUCAGGAGAGCUAGCUAUAGUCAGAUGCUCGCUUCCACCGAUGUGUCCCAACCAAGAGAGGGAGAAAAAAGAAGUCGCGAUGGAGCAACAGGGGACAGCCCCCUUUCCCUUGAUGAAUAUGUGACACAAGCAAAGGCGAGCAUGUGCACAGCGAGCUGCGAGCAACAAGCUGCUAACCCGCCUACGGCAAUAGCAAUCAGACACAUUGAUUACUUUGUGGACCUGUCCGCUCCGUACGGUGGUCGGCUAAGUGACCUGUGGUAUCUCCAGAGCAACAACAAGAAGACGACGAAUGCAUCAUACAAGAUGUUGCAAACGUGCUUUGAUCAAAUAUUCGAUCUCUUGUACACCAAAAUGGGAUAUGUUGAUGGAGACACCAAUGUGGGAUUCACUUCUUUUGAGAUUCUGUUUACGCUUUUGCUUCCAUUAGUGGCUUUAGCUUCCCUGAUGCUCUUCGCCACAGGCAACAAGCAUGGUUACAACAGCAAGGACGUCAAGGUGACAUACAUCCUUUUCUCUUGCACUACUCUGCUGGAGUUCUUACAGUUAUGGUGUGGUAUUGUCACUGCAUGCAUUCCUUGCCUGAAAUUCAUCAACGAGUAUCUCGAGGGAUGGCAUGACAUGGUUUCCCAGUACGACCUCAUGUCGUUCUAUGUUCGCAAGAAGAAACCCACCUUCUUGAUGAAGAUCUUUUUCUUCAAAUGUCUAAGGGGGUAUGUUAGCAAGGUUUGGUAUGUAAGGCAAGUGCCUGCAGCCUACGAAAUUACGGAGCUAGUUCAACGGCACAUAGAAGAUGGAUGGAGGACAUUCAUAACUGAUGCCGCCACCUACAGGAGGUUCAGCGAUUUCAGGGGCCAGCUGACUCUGGAGAGGUCCAGUGAAGCACCAACAGGGGGUGGCCUUGGAGAGGAGUUGUGGGAUAGCUUGAAGGUGCCAUUCGACAGGAGUAUCCUUCUUUGGCACAUCGCCACAAAUCUCUGCUUUCACCGGCCCGUGGACAAGCCAUCAUCCUUCCCUCGAGGACAAAGUGACCUUACGCAACGCUGUAUGGAGAUGUCCGACUACAUGUUAUACCUGCUUUUCAUUCGCACCGAGAUGCUGUCGCCCGGCACCAGACCGGGUCUCUUCACCGUCGCCAUAUAUGAUCUAGAGGAAAUCUUGAAGAACAACAAGGCAAAGCUCCAGGAUGAAGAAGCACUUGCUCAAGAGAUUAUUCAACAGACGGCCGGGACUACUCUGAUUCACAAAGCUUGCAGGCUGGCUAUGUCAUUGAUGGACCUGCAGGAAGAGGAGAUGUGGGAGAUAAUCCAGGGCGUGUGGGUGGAGAUGCUCUGCUACUCUGCUAGUAGAUGCAGAGGAUUCCUGCACGCCAAGAGCCUGGGUGAAGGCGGGGAAUACCUCUCCUAUGUGUGGCUCCUCUGGUCAUACAUGGGGAUGGAGACCUUGGCGGACAAGAUUCACAAGCCCGAGUCUCCGAAAGAAAAGGAGAUCCUUGUUGAGGACGAUGAUUUGGCUUCUUCGUCCCACGGUGGACUCAACCGCCAAACUUCAACAGCAGGUAUCCCUAGCCCAGUGUGA